rnacentral:rRNA from 1 species
GACAGAGGGGGCAAGCGUUGCUCGGAAUCACUGGGCGUAAAGGGCGCGUAGGCGGGAUGGCAAGUCGGUCGUGAAAUCCUUCGGCUCAACCGAAGAACGUCGGCCGAUACUGCCGUUCUUGAGGGAUGCAGAGGAGACUGGAAUUCCCGGUGUAGCGGUGAAAUGUGUAGAGAUCGGGAGGAACACCGGUGGCGAAGGCGGGUCUCUGGGCAUCUCCUGACGCUGAGGAGCGAAAGCGUGGGGAGCGAACAGG